rnacentral:rRNA from 1 species
UACGGGGGGGGGCAAGCGUUGUUCGGAAUUACUGGGCGUAAAGGGCUGGUAGGCGGCCAACUAAGUCGGAUGUGAAAUCCCCAGGCUUAACCUGGGAACUGCAUCCGAUACUGGUCGGCUUGAAUCCGGGAGAGGGAUGCGGAAUUCCAGGUGUAGCGGUGAAAUGCGUAGAUAUCUGGAGGAACACCGGUGGCGAAGGCGGCAUCCUGGACCGGCAUUGACGCUGAGGAGCGAAAGCCAGGGGAGCAAACGGG